UGGGGAAUAUUGGACAAUGGGGGCAACCCUGAUCCAGCAAUGCCGCGUGUGUGAAGAAGGUCUUCGGAUUGUAAAGCACUUUCGACGGGGACGAUGAUGACGGUACCCGUAGAAGAAGCCCCGGCUAACUUCGUGCCAGCAGCCGCGGUAAUACGAAGGGGGCUAGCGUUGCUCGGAAUGACUGGGCGUAAAGGGCGUGUAGGCGGUUUACACAGUCAGAUGUGAAAUCCCCGGGCUUAACCUGGGAGCUGCAUUUGAUACGUGUAGACUAGAGUGUGAGAGAGGGUUGUGGAAUUCCCAGUGUAGAGGUGAAAUUCGUAGAUA
rnacentral:rRNA from 1 species